CUUGUAAUUGGCUUCACAUAGGU
rnacentral:miRNA from 1 species